rnacentral:rRNA from 1 species
UACGAAGGGUGCAAACGUUGCUCGGAAUCAUUGGGCGUAAAGCGCACGUAGGCGGCCCAGCAAGUUGGAUGUGAAAUCCCUCGGCUCAACCGAGGACGUGCAUCCAAAACUGCUGGGCUUGAGUACUGAAGAGGAUCGCGGAAUUCCCGGUGUAGAGGUGAAAUUCGUAGAUAUCGGGAGGAACACCAGUGGCGAAGGCGGCGAUCUGGGCAGAUACUGACGCUGAGGUGCGAAAGCGUGGGGAGCAAACAGG